AGAGUUUGAUCCUGGCUCAGGAUGAACGCUAGCGGCAGGCUUAACACAUGCAAGUCGAGGGGUAACAGGGGUAGCAAUACCUGCUGACGACCGGCAAACGGGUGCGGAACACGUACGCAACCUCCCCAUAACUGGUGAAUAGCCUUCCGAAAGGAAGAUUAAUACACCGUAACUUAAUGAAGUGGCAUCACUUUAUUAAUAUAGCUCCGGCGGUUUUGGAUGGGCGUGCGGCUGAUUAGGUAGUUGGCGGGGUAACGGCCCACCAAGCCUGCGAUCAGUAACUGGUGUGAGAGCACGACCAGUCACACGGGCACUGAGACACGGGCCCGACUCCUACGGGAGGCAGCAGUAAGGAAUAUUGGUCAAUGGACGAAAGUCUGAACCAGCCAUGCCGCGUGAAGGAUGAAGGCCCUCUGGGUUGUAAACUUCUUUUAUAGGGGACGAAAAAAGAUCAUUCUUGAUCACUUGACGGUACUCUAGGAAUAAGCACCGGCUAACUCCGUGCCAGCAGCCGCGGUAAUACGGAGGGUGCAAGCGUUAUCCGGAUUCACUGGGUUUAAAGGGUGCGUAGGUGGGCUUGUAAGUCAGUGGUGAAAUCUCCGGGCUUAACCCGGAAACUGCCAUUGAUACUAUAGGUCUUGAAUCAUCUGGAGGUGAGCGGAAUAUGUCAUGUAGCGGUGAAAUGCUUANAUAUGACAUAGAACACCGAUUG
rnacentral:rRNA from 1 species